rnacentral:lncRNA from 1 species
UGGGAGGGAGAGCUAAACCUUCAGAGAGGCAGACACGCCUGGGAAACCAGAAGAGACUGCACUCUGAACACACAUCUCGGACGCCAGAGGAAAACACCAAACGCCAUCUGGAACCCUGGUGCACUGAAGCUCCCGGAAACGGCGGCACAGAUCUUCCUGGUUGCUGCCGCCGCAGAGAGCUCGUGGGCAGCAAACCCCACGAGCGAACUUAAGCCUCGGGACCACAGGUAAGACCAACUUUUCUGCUGCAAGAGACCUGCCUGGUGAACUCAAGACACAGGCCCACAGGAACAGCUGAAGACCUGUAGAGAGGAAAAACUACACGCCCGAAAGCAGAACACUCUGUCCCCAAAACAGGCUGAAAGAAAACAGGAAAA